rnacentral:rRNA from 1 species
AUUGAACGCUGGCGGCAGGCCUAACACAUGCAAGUCGAACGGUAACAGGAAGCAGCUUGCUGCUUUGCUGACGAGUGGCGGACGGGUGAGUAAUGUCUGGGAAACUGCCCGAUGGAGGGGGAUAACUACUGGAAACGGUAGCUAAUACCGCAUAACGUCGCAAGACCAAAGAGGGGGACCUUAGGGCCUCUUGCCAUCGGAUGUGCCCAGAUGGGAUUAGCUAGUAGGUGGGGUAACGGCUCACCUAGGCGACGAUCCUUAGCUGGUCUGAGAGGAUGACCGGCCACACUGGAACUGAGACACGGUCCAGACUCCUACGGGAGGCAGCAGUAGGGAAUAUUGCGCAAUGGGCGCAAGCCUGAUGCAGCAAUGCCGCGUGUAUGAAGAAGGCCUUCGGGUUGUAAAGUACUUUCAGCGGGGAGGAAGGGAGUAAAGUUAAUACCUUUGCUCAUUGACGUUACCCGCAGAAGAAGCACCGGCUAACUCCGUG